UCCGAUGUUAGGGCAUCCAUUAUUAGGAU
rnacentral:sRNA from 1 species